AGGCACCAUGCAAUAAAUGCAUGCCUUGCUCCUUUAUAUUGUGGAAGGGAUGCAUGUCAUCACAGAGGAGGGAAUUGGGAGCCGUAAAGCUGGAUUGCGUCCAAUUUAGGCAAUGAUACUGGAGCCAAGCAUUGAUAUUGCCAUUGUGAAUGCUGGGAUGCGUGUCUGCCUUGAAGAGAAAGACAAGAAAUAGGUUUCUAGAGAAACAGAAUAUACUGAUGAUGCGCCAAUGCCACCCA